CUAGACUUCUGAAAGGGAAACCAGUGCACCAGGGUUUCCAGUGCUGUGAUAUGUGACUUAGGAGGAGCAGUUUGCUAAGGUAAAUUAUCCCAAAUGGACUGCUUUAGGAUGUCAGACACUAGCAUUUGUGCUGGCUGUCUAGAUGGGGUGUUAAGAUACCCCUCAAGUCUUCUUCCACCCCCUGCAUGGAGCACAAGCCCUUUCAAGAUUCAGGGCUGAAGACUCAGACUGAACUGUCUAUAAGGCUUUCUACAAGCACGUGAUAUUGCCCAGAAUGCCUUUUGCAUAUCCAGCCCAUCUGCAGUGCAGUUUGCUGCUGAGAGAGGGACAGAACAUAUGGCACUGACCUCAGAUGUGGGCUCCAAUACAGUAAGGAAGCCAUCUACUCUGAACAUUAAUAACGAAUUUCAGUGACUGGCCUGGCUGGGAACCAGUGCACACCCAACCUCUGCAUGCACGGAGCUCUUGGCACACAGUGAGACAGAAGAAAGAUGGGAGAUAACAUAAGGAUCAGGGUCUCUAAACCAAGUAUGUAUCAGAUGCCAGGAGUUCAUUAGAUGUUGCAGCAUCACAUAGGUCAUUACCUGCCAGAAUGCACUGCCUGGACAGUGCUGCUGUGAUCAGAAAACAGCUCAGAAAAAAACUAAGUCUGUUAAGAGUGGGAGUAAGCAGAGAAGACAACAAAUUCUCAUUUUAAAUACGGGUGAGGCAUCCAGCUCUGGUGUUGCUCAAACACACGCGUCUACCUAGACUGAGAAUAAAAGGGUCAGAUCACAUAACUUCAGCUGUCCACGUACCCAGGACAAACAUCAAAUGUAAAAUGAGUAAUAAUAAUAAACAGUUUUCAAAGCUAAGUUCAGGCUGAUUUUGAAGCAUUAAAAAUGAGCACCCUAUAAGAUGUUAUGGCCUCAUUUAAGACCAAGUCGGGGAUAUUUUAUAGCAUCACUAAACAGCUACAUCUCCAUUUGAAGGAGCGAGAGGUGCUCACCCAGCUGGUACAACACUUCAGCUGCUGAGCCGCUCUUCUGCCUUCUUUCAGCUUUCAAUACAAGGUCCAACAGCCCUACUCACUGUGUCAGGAUGACUUCAUACACAGAUUCCCUUGGAAACACCAGCUCCAAAGUCCCUCUCGCUCGCACUCCAGCCAGCAACCAGUGAGGACCCCAUGCUGCCCCACUGGGUCUUGCUCAGGCUGGAACUGGGCACUCUGCACGGGAUCAAAGUCCCUCUGUGUACCUGCCCCAGCCUGAUGAAUGCCACUGCUCCUCAUUUCCAUACGAUCAGUAUCUUGCUCUAUAAACGACUUCAACACAGGAAAAAUAGCUUCUCCCGACAGCGUGCAGCGCUGCAGAUAACCAACGUGAAAAAUGUCAAGCAAUGCAGGCACUGAAUAACAAAAUAAUCAGUUUUUCCACUCAGAUGCUUUCUAAUAUUGCUUACACUUUUUUUUUUCUUUUUUUUUUUUUGAGAUGUGGUGUUCAUGAUAAAUAAUUUAAAGACUUAAUGUUCACUGGGUCCUUUGUUACUGGCAGCUCUCGAAUUGCCAAAUGAAAAUAUUUGGGGUUUUGGUGCUCUGUAUAAAGACUGUAUAUUUGUCAACAGUUUUAUGGCUCAGAGAGGUGCUCCAUGAAUAUCGUCAGCAUUGGUUGCUCUCUCAAAGGCCUACUAUAUAAAAAUAAAGUGAAAUAAAAUAAAAAAGCAAGCCUGAUGAUUCCCCUUUUCUCUUUAUUACAGCUGCACUACUCAUGCCGCUGCCAUUAAGGGCCUGUCAGCAUUUUUAUUAGAAACCGCUACUCCAGGGGUUUAUAACUCAGCAGUAAAAAUU
ensembl:lncRNA